CCUACGGGAGGCAGCAGUGGGGAAUAUUGCACAAUGGGCGCAAGCCUGAUGCAGCCAUGCCGCGUGUGUGAAGAAGGCCUUCGGGUUGUAAAGCACUUUCAGCGGGGAGGAAGGCGGUGAGGUUAAUAACCUCACCGAUUGACGUUACCCGCAGAAGAAGCACCGGCUAACUCCGUGCCAGCAGCCGCGGUAAUACGGAGGGUGCAAGCGUUAAUCGGAAUUACUGGGCGUAAAGCGCACGCAGGCGGUCUGUCAAGUCGGAUGUGAAAUCCCCGGGCUCAACCUGGGAACUGCAUUCGAAACUGGCAGGCUAGAGUCUUGUAGAGGGGGGUAGAAUUCCAGGUGUAGCGGUGAAAUGCGUAGAGAUCUGGAGGAAUACCGGUGGCGAAGGCGGCCCCCUGGACAAGGACUGACGCUCAGGUGCGAAAGCGUGGGGGGCAAACAGGAUUAGAUACCCUGGUAGUC
rnacentral:rRNA from 1 species